GGGUUACAAAAUGGGCGUUACAUAUAUGAGUUCGGAAUGACGUGGCUACUAAACAAAUGUCAUUGAUUAAAAAAAUCUCAAAAAUUAUGCUAGAUUGUCUCUUAACACUGUAAACAGGUGGCUAGCGACUACUCAGACACCUUUUUCACAUAUUCUCACAAUAUUACUAUUUCAUUACCAUAUCAAAUACAUUCAUUGACUUGAGGCUGUCAAAUGAUCACUGUCCUCGCUCUUUCUGGUAUUUUCAGGUAACUCAAGAUUCGAUUAAUC
rnacentral:misc_RNA from 1 species